rnacentral:sRNA from 1 species
AAAACAUAUUAAUAAAGCUGAAAGAGACAUACACACAUUAUUAAAGCGGAAAGAGACCGAAUACAAACACACACUUGACAACUAUUAAUUUCCAAAUAAGUCGUGACUCAAACUUCUCUAAAAGCUCUUUACUCCGAUCAUCGAGAUUCUCUUUUUCACUUACUCUCUCAUAAACAUCUUCAGCUUCUUAGAUUCAAUCAUUUCUUUCAUUAAUUGGUUUGCCUUAUUUUGCGCCAUGCUUAUUUUGUCUCGUUUCAAUUCUUGGUCCUUAGAUUGUUUAAAUUCAUUACACUCUUCGUUAAUCACUACUAAAUUUACGUGAUCUUUCUAGAUGUAUUUUCUCUUGCUUUGAUGUGCAUAGUCUUCCUUUAUCUUGGUUCGACGAUCUUUAAACUGGUUCACGAUAUACCUCUUUUCAAUUUCAAACUGCUUUUUGUAAGUUUUGAUAUCAAGAAAAUAUUCAGAUGGAUUCAUUGAUAUUUU